rnacentral:siRNA from 1 species
GAGAGUGUCCUCUGAUACCAUAG